ACUAAAUACCACUGCUCUCCACAAAACAUGACUUCUCGCCUGCCAAAUACAAAGCUGUUUGCUUUCCAAAAAGACGACGUUUCCUUCGCGCGCUCCCUUUUUUCUCCACAACAUGCAAAUUCUCUCUCCAAAACAGGACAGUUUCUGCCCCUAAUGCUACUUUUCUCCAGAACAUAGGGCCCUUCCUUCGCGCAUCAUGCCACAUUUCUCCUGAAAAUAUACAGCUCUUCCUUGCAAAAUACCACUUUUCUCCCAAAGACAUGACCAUUUUUCUUCCCACACCAUACCACUCUUCUCCAAAACUACGAUCUCUCCUCUCAAAAACGCCACUUUUCUCCCAAAAAUACGACGUUUCUUCCCCUCAGGACCUCUUUUCUCCUCCAUAGAUGAGACUUUCUCGACCCAAAUCUCACUUUCGUCAAGAAAAGAAGGCAUUUUCCCGACCACAAAACCACUCUUCACCCCCAAAUCAGACUUUUCUCCCCAAAACACCACUGUGCUCCCUAAAAGAAGACACUCUCUCCCCCCACAUACCACUGCCACCUUUCAAACGAAAACAAAACGUUUUCUCUCCAAAAUACUACACUUCUUUCGGAAACACGACAUUUUCUCCCCCCCCUCCCAGAAAAAAAAAACAAAAACCAAAAAACGGCAACCAAAACAACAAACCAAACACUUCUACCCACCAUUGGACUGGCAGGCAUGUGUUGGGCUUGUCUGCUGGUAGAAGGAACAAGGUUAGGCAUAGUUUCUACAGAGAACAACUGCUUCGAUUUCUUUCUAGAUUUGGUCGUAAGUAUCAGAGGAGCGGCAAGAAAGGGCCCUGCCACUGCCCGUCUGUUACUACGCAGCUGUACGUGACAGAGCCCGCUGUGGCUGGAAGUGUAAAGGAUGGCAGUUCAGAAUCCUCUCUUGCCAGCUUGCCGUGCUGCAGUCUUGAGCUUGUGAAGCGUGCUCCUGAGGCUUCUUUUCGUUUGAAAGGUGGUAUUUUGUGGGAGAUGAUGCUUAACUGCGGGGCGAAAAGUAGGAUCUGGGGGAGAAAAUCCACUUCUGGGUCGGAAAGAAUAGGACAUUUUCUCCCCCAAGUACCCCUUGUCUCACCGAAACAAGACUCUUUCUCCACUAAAUACCACUGCUCUCCACAAAACAUGACUUCUCGCCUGCCAAAUACAAAGCUGUUUGCUUUCCAAAAAGACGACGUUUCCUUCGCGCGCUCCCUUUUUUCUCCACAACAUGCAAAUCUCUCUCCAAAACAGGACAGUUUCUCCUCCAAACGCUACUUUUCUCCAGAACAUAGGGCCCUUCCUUCGCGCAUCAUGCCACAUUUCUCCUGA
rnacentral:lncRNA from 7 species